rnacentral:rRNA from 1 species
UACGAAGGGGGCUAGCGUUGCUCGGAAUGACUGGGCGUAAAGGGCGCGUAGGCGGCUUGCACCGUCAGAUGUGAAAUUCCUGGGCUUAACCUGGGGGCUGCAUUUGAUACGUGUGGGCUUGAGUGCGGAAGAGGUGAGUGGAAUUCCGAGUGUAGAGGUGAAAUUCGUAGAUAUUCGGAGGAACACCAGUGGCGAAGGCGGCUCACUGGUCCAUUACUGACGCUGAGGUGCGAAAGCGUGGGGAGCAAACAGG